CUAACUAUGUGGCCCACACGUAGAAAAACUUGCCUUGUAAGUCAAGGCAUGUGUCCUACAAAGUCAACACAUAUUGGAGGUCCUAUUGAACGUCGCCACGUAGCCCCUAGUUAGAUAGUAUAUAUAGAGACAAGAGUGAAGGCUUCUUCACUCUUGUCAACUCCUUUCUUGCUUCUAGUCCAGGUUCAAGAGUCUUUAGUUUCUUGUCUUGUG
rnacentral:lncRNA from 1 species